AACGAACGCUGGCGGCAGGCCUAACACAUGCAAGUCGAGCGAGGACUUCGGUCCUAGCGGCGGACGGGUGUGUAACGCGUGGGAACGUGCCCUUUGCUUCGGAAUAGCUCUGGGAAACUGGGAGUAAUACCGGAUGAGCCCUUUGGGGGAAAGAUUUAUCGGCGAAGGAUCGGCCCGCGUUGGAUUAGGUAGUUGGUGGGGUAAUGGCCUCCCAAGCGGACGAUCCAUAGCUGGUUAGAGAGGAUGAUCAGCCACACUGGGAGUGAGACACGGCCCAGAAUCCUACGGGAGGGAGCAGUGGGGAAUCGUAGACAAGGGGGGAAACCCUGAUCUAGCCAUGCCGCGUGAGCGAUGAAGGCCUUAGGGUUGUAAAGCUCUUUCAGCUGGGAAGAUAAUGACGGUACCAGCAGAAGAAGCCCCGGCUAACUCCGUG
rnacentral:rRNA from 1 species